UAUCUCAUGAUGUCUUCCGCUAUCCUAGGCUUUAACUUAACUUUGGGAACCAGAGUGGCUACAGACUGCCAGAGUGAUGACUGUACAAUGAAAGACAGGAUGCUGUGCUUUCUCCUCAGUCACCUCAUAAGUAAGCACAAGUUGAAAAUAAAACUCUUUUAAGAAGUGAAGAUAACUAGAGCUUCACUGACAAGGCUCCUUUUACUGACAGUGAAAUGAACAGGAAAAAAGAUUCCUCCAGACACCAGAAAAGGAGACAGUGACAGGAGCCCAUCUGUCUUUCUGCCCAUCUCCUGAGCUGACGGAAGUGGAAGAAGGUAUGCAUCAUGUAUUCAAAUCUAGCUUAUCACCAGCUGCAAACGUAUGAGAAUAAAUAUGAUACAAAACAGUGAUCUAAUGGAGAAAAACAAGCAAGCAAGAUGUCGAUUUGGCCAAGUCUGAUUUCAGAAAGUAUUCCAUUUACAGGUUGGUAAAUUAAAGUAGCACAGUAAACCUUUA